rnacentral:misc_RNA from 1 species
GAUGAAGAACGCAGCGAAAUGCGAUAAGUAGUGUGAAUUGCAGAAUUCAGUGAAUCAUCGAAUCUUUGAACGCACAUUGCGCCCCUUGGUAUUCCAUGGGGCAUGCCUGUUCAAGCGUCAUUUGUACCUUCAAGCUCUGCUUGGUGUUGGGUGUUUGUCUCGCCUCUGCGUGUAGACUCGCCUCAAAACAAUUGGCAGCCGGCGUAUUGAUUUCGGAGCGCAGUACAUCUCGCGCUUUGCACUCAUAACGACGACGUCCAAAAGUACAUUUUUACACUCUUGACCUCGGAUCAGGUAGGGAUACCCGCUGAACUUAAGCAUAUCAAUAAGCGGAGGA